rnacentral:tRNA from 1 species
GCCUCGGUAGCUCAGCGGUUAGAGCACACGGCUGUUAACCGUGGGGUCGUCGGUUCAAAUCCGACCCGGGGCG